AAUCUCCCUAUGAAGUUUUGCAUGGAAAGGCACCAACCUACUCUCAUUUGAGAGCAUUUGGUUGACUUGCCUAUGCUACUGUCCCAAUUCCUCUACCUACUCUCAUUUGAGAGCAUUUUGGUGCCUUGCCUAUCUACUGUUCCAAUUCCUCAAAGGGACAAAUUGAAACCUAGAGCCAUUUCCUGUUUCUUCAUUGGCUAUCCUUUUGCCAAAAAGGGUUAUAAGCUUUAUAACCUUACUUCAAAAAAAAUACUUUGUCUCCAGGGAUGUUAUAUUUCAUGAAACCUACUUUCCUUAUAAGAAUGUUUCAUCUCUUGCUCCUUCUUCCUUUCCCUCAGUUCCUCCUCUUGAGCCUUCCUUCUCUGACACUGACUUGUUGAUACCUGUUUGUUCUUCUCCUCCUCCUCCUUCUGCCACCACUUCUUCUUCUUCUAAUCCAGCCUCCAUUCCUUCCUUCAAUCCUAAUACAUCUCCUCCUAAUUUGC
rnacentral:lncRNA from 1 species